UACAGAGGUCUCAAGCGUUGUUCGGAUUCAUUGGGCGUAAAGGGCGCGUAGGCGGGUUCUCAAGUCUGUGGUGAAAGCCCCCGGCUUAACCGGGGAAGUGCCGUGGAUACUGGGGACCUCGAGGAGGGUAGGGGCAUCUGGAACAGCCGGUGGAGCGGUGAAAUGCGUUGAUAUCGGAAGGAACGCCGGUGGCGAAAGCGAUCCGCUGGCCCUCUUCUGACGCUGAGGCGCGAAAGCCAGGGGAGCAAACGGG
rnacentral:rRNA from 1 species